rnacentral:rRNA from 1 species
AUGGAAUCUUCACCGGUGUAUCCCUACCAAACAAAUCAUGUUUACAAUACAACAAAUACGUACUGUUCCCAAACAUACUCCUAUUUAUUUGAUGGUUCCACGCGAGUUGCUCGACAAGAUCUCUUUGGAGCCUUGCCUUGCGUGGCGGCGAUCAACAUGCUACCGGCGAAGAAACGAGCGGGGCACCACCGCAGUCCGUGGUCCGACCUCCCCUACGAUCUGCUUACAACCAUCCUCGUCCGGCUCACCGCAACCUCCCCGGCCCUUCGCGACCGCGCACGCUUCGGCGGCGUGUGCCAGACAUGGCGCGCCGCCGAGCGCGCCCACCCGCGCCCUCCCAUGCCAUGGCUCGUCGCCCCUGGGCACUACGUCAGCCUCCACGACGCCGCCAUCUACCGCGUUCCGCUGCCCGAGGACGCCGCCGCUGCCACCUGCCGAGGCUCCUUCGGCGACUGGCUCGCCCUCGUGCCGCCGGUGUCAGGGCGCCCCUUCUUGCUGAACGCUUUCACCAAGGAUCGGAUCAAGCUGCCGCGGCGGACGAAAGAGCCGAUGGUUAAGUUUGUCAUGUCGUCCGCGCCGGAUGCCAAGGCUUGCACUGUGGCUGCCAUUGUUGAGAUUGGAAACAGCCCUUAUACAAGGAGAUUUAAGAUCGUCUUCUGCCACCUGAGGAGGGGACGACGACAAGGGCGCUCCUGGGAGAUCCUGACUAAGGCGUUCAAGCUCCAAGAUAUCAUCUUCUUCGAGGGGAAACUCCAUGCCCUUGACAUCCAAGCCCGCCUCCAUGUCUUUGAGGAAGAAGACCUCCAACAGCGCCCUGAUCAGCGAUGGAGCAUGCCGUCUGCGGAGCAGCGAUUCUUCGACGUCACGCUGCACCUGGUUGUCCUCCAUGGGAGGCUGCACGUGGUCGGCAGGGGCUUAUGGACGACCCAGUCGACGCACUUCACCAACGCAAUAGGGGUGUUCACGCUCGUCGGUGAGAUGGCGAAGUCGCCAGCAGCGGUCAAGGACUUUGACGGGCACGCGUUCUUUGUCGGCGACGCCUGCUGUGACGCUUUCGCUGUUGAGGCAGCCGCUUCAGGCCGCAGGAUAAGAGAGAACCAGAUUUGCUUCGUUGACGACGAGAAGAACGUGGCGUUGCUGACCGCCCGCGGCCGCCGGCCUUUCCGGAUGCUGCAAUCCUACGACGUGCGCAACAGCUGCCUCCGAGCAUACGUACCCAGCACCGCCGUGGUGGGGACUUGGCGCUGCGUCACAGCACAGCGCUUCCCGCACAGCAGCACCAUCGGACCACCGUUGCGGGAGCCUCUGUCGGAGGCGGAGCUGCUUCUGUGGGACGUGGCCAACUGCCUGGGAGCAUGGGGCCAGCCCUCAUAUACAACGCGCGAGCAGGAAGACGGCGCAAGGGUUGCCGUCACCGUGCGGAUAUGGGUGCCCAAGACAUCAAAAAUAUCUGUAGAGGAAGAGCACUACUGGAGGUUUACAAAGUACCGGAAGUCAGCCAAGAAAGCUAAGCAGGCGGCGGCGCACGAGGCAGUUACGUUCAUGCGGAGUCGGUUCCGUAGCAUCCUGGACGACAGCCCCUGGAGCUCCGUCCCGCACUACCACAGCCACGUCGAUGAGGAGGAAGAAUCACCGGAAGAAGACAGCGACGACCACGACGGCACGACGGUUUGUUUGGGUAUAAAUAUUGGCAGAGAGACUUGUACUAAUAAUUACUCCCUCUAUAAAAAACGUUUUUAUAUUAUGAGACUGAGGGAGUAG